AUGUCGGACAUGAAGAAGGAGAUGGCUGCCAUUGCUAUCGGCUGGCUGGCCGUCAGGCAGCUGGAGGACGACGACGUCUCAAUGGAGGACGUUGUCGACGAUGAAUCGGCGCCACCCUCCUCCUCCGCGCCAACCUCGCUGGUGCAUUGCACCUUGACCAUCGGCGAGGCCCGUGCCCAUUACAUAGACAUGGUGUGGGAGGACAAGUUAUGGGAGGCGCAGGACGCCGCCGCCUACAACCACCACCUCGACUUCCGUGCCACGAAUCUCCCACAAUGCGGCUAUAUCUCCCACGUGUCGGGGCACGACUUAGAGGCAUAG
rnacentral:rRNA from 1 species